AUUGAACGCUGGCGGCAGGCCUAACACAUGCAAGUCGAGCGAGCGGCGGACGGGUGAGUACUGGAUGGCGACCUGCCAGUGAGAGGUGGAUAACUGCUGGAAACGGUAGCUACUACCGCGUCCAGUCGGCUGAAGCCCUAUGGGAGUAGAUAGUGGGUGAGGUAAUGGCUAACCUAGGCGACGAGCCCUGGCUGGUCUGAGAGGAUGAUCAGCCACACUGGGACUGAGACACGGCCCAGACUCCUACGGGAGGCAGCAGUGGGGAAUAUUGCACAAUGGGCGAAAGCCUGAUGCAGCCAUGCCGCGUGUAUGAAGAAGGCCUUAGGAUUGUAAAGUACUUUCAGUCGGGAGGCGUUACCGACAGAAUAAGCACCGGCUAACUCCGUGCCAGCCGCCGCGGUAAUAC
rnacentral:rRNA from 1 species